AUUAAAAGAAAAAAAUACAUCAAUUUUGAAAUCCGCACUUUCUUGGGACUCUAUCCGUAGUGUCCAUUUCUGUUAUAAUGUGUUUGAUCUUUGGGCGACCUUUCUUGACUCUCCGCAUUAGUGGAUUGUGACACACCUUAACAUAUUCAUAUUGUGGCCAAUAUCCUUCGUUUGAUAUCGGUUGGAACGCUUCAAUGUAGACUUUAAGUACUGUUUCCACCUUGUACACAUCAGAUAUAACGCUGCUAUCACAUGUGAACAAGGCAUAUGUUUAGCUUGAUAUUUUUCACAAUCGCACCAUUUGUUAGGAAGAUUUACACUGAAAUUACCAAUUGGUCGCCCUUUUUUUGGAACUACUGUCUCGUGGACCAUGAAAGUAUGGUUGUUUCGAUCAAAACUAUCGACUCUAUGACUAUUUGAUUUACGUAUUUUCGAUUUCAUAAAAGUCAUACAUGUUUCUGUGUAUACCUGACCAGAAGCUAAAAUUGAUGCGUGUUGUUUUGCCAUGGUUGGAAAUAGUGUACUUAUUUUAUAAUAUGUUGAUUGGACCAAAGCAGUGAUGGAAAGGUUGUGUGGUUCUUUUAAUACUGUGUUCAUCGACUCCACAAGGUUGGUGGUCAUCUGACCCCAACGGCUACCUCUAUCAAAUGCUUGAAUCCAAUCUUGUCGCGGUAUAUUGUCUAACCAUUUCAAAGCUUCUGGGUUUACGAUGGCAAUUUCUCUGCGGUAGUAUCGAUAUGUAGACUCAUUGAUUGAGUAAUUUGUAUUGAAACAGUAGACAAUGCAUUAUUACAUUAAUUAUAAAACUUCAUAAUUUAAUUUUUCAUUAAUGAUAAGAAGUAAAAAUUAAAUUAUUACCCAUAGAAAUAACAUUGUUCUUCAAAGUAUUAUCCUUAAAUUCCCUUGCAAAAUUUUGUGAAAUAUGUCGGACACAAAACACAUGCUUUGACGGAGGAUGUUGCCACCCAUUAUUCAGAUUAUUGUAAGCACUUUUGAUAGAUUCGUGUCUAUCUGAAAUCAAACAAAUGUUGGCUUGUGGAGUGACGUGUGAUCUCAAAUUUCUCAAAAAAAAAAACUCCAAGCUUCUUUUGUCUCACAUUCCACAAGAGCAUAAGCAAUGAGAAUGAUAUUGUCGUUCUCAUCCUGUGCAACUGCUACCAAUAGAGUUCCCUUAUACUUGCUGUAUAACCAAGUUCCAUCAACUUGUACAAUUGGUUUGCAAAAUUAAAACGCAUAUAUGCAUGGAACGUAAGUCCAAAAUAGUCUAUGAAAGAUUGUCAUCCCAUUUAUCAAACCAUGUUCAUUAUAAGUUGGGAUUGUUUCCAUUCUAAUAAUGGUUCCUGGAGCAAACGUUUGCAUAACUAAUAACCAUCGUGGAAGUUGGUUGUAAGACUCUUUCCAAUUGCCAUAAAUUUGUUCGAUUGCCUUAUUUUUUCUCAACCAAGCCUUUCUAUAACUAAUUGUGUAGUUAUGUAAAGUCUGAAUCUGAGCAAUAAUGACAUUCACUUUGAUUGAAGGGUUCAUCCUCAUAAUUUGCAUUAUACUUGCACAUAUCAUGUUAGAAUCGAGUUUUGUAUGAACUUGUGAUAGUGCAGAAUUUGUGCAAGUAUGAGGUGUAUUCAAUUUUUCAAUCACCAACAAUUCACUUUUUUUGCGUUUUGAAGCUCUACAUCUAAACAAACAAUUUGGAUGUGAACAAAUAAUAACGUACCUUUCUAAAUUUGAUUUUUGCACCACAAAAUUCAAUGAUUGUUUUAGAUGAUAACGCUUGAUUGCAUGUACACAUUCAUCCUUGUUCUGAAACUUCAUUCCAACUUCAAGAGUUUCACCUAAAUUUGGGACUUCGUCAAUGAACAUGUGAUCAAAUUCAGUUGGUUGGUUUGCGGUGGAUAGAUUGAUGUUCUUCAUGUGGAAUGGUGGAUCGAAUACAUGUGGGAUAGGUUGAUAGGUUGAUCUUCUGCUUCCAUAUCUUCAUCAACAUCAUCAUCGUCAGAAUCACCAGAUGAUUCAUCGAAGUAUGUUUCAUCAUUUUCACUAUAAUCACCUAAUUCUUCCUCAUUGAUAUUAUAAUGGACACUAAGUGGAAGAUCACAUUGUGGACUUGUUGGGAGAGAUUCGUGAUGAAGUUUUUGGGAGACAUUGUGGACAUGUUGAGUUUGUUCAUUUUGGCUAGAGUAUGGUUCUUAGUGUUGUGAUGGAGAAUAUACGUCGGGUUGAUAAGGGCUAGAGUAUGGUUCAUAGUGUUGUGAUGGGAUAUAGUUGGGAUUAGGCAUGUUUGAGGUUGAUGGUUGAUUUGUUGAAGUAGGACAACUUUAAAAUGUAAUGUAUAACUCAAUCGUGCCAAGUUGUGACCAUUGUGCAUAAACAUUAAACAUGAGUUGAACAUGUUCGUUAUUACAAACCUUCAUUAAUUCAAAUUUGAUUGUAUUUUCACCAAAGAAGAUAAGGUGUCGAUAAACUAUAUCAGUUAUCGUCACGUUGUCGUCGAACUGUAACUUUUUCUUAAUGACAUUCUUUAGACGAGCAAGGUUGCUGUUAAAAUGUACUUUGAACGCCUUUUUGUAAUCACUUACAAAUGUUUUCCCUUCAACUCCAUCGACAAUUGAACCAUUGUAAUAAACAAUACAAAUGACUUGUUGAGAAGCCAUGAUUAUGUAAUUGAUAGAAUGUAUGAUGAGAUAGAAGGUGUGGUGAUAUAGUGUGAUCUAGUUUUCUAUUUAUAGAAGUUAGUAGGAUUCCUAUUUUUUUACAUAACCUUCCACAACCGUUGAUAAAUGAAUUUGGAUGGUCAAGAUUAAAGAUUGAAUAGAUCAAUUUGAUUCAUUAUCAAUUGGUCUCUACCUGGCCCUGCGACCUUUAAGAGAUCGUUUCAUGGCCCUGCGACCUCCCAAAGAAGUCGUUUCCUGGCCUUGCGAUCUCCUUAAGGGUUCGCAAUAUGGGGAUGCGACCUCCCACUACGUUGGCUGAAUGUGAGGAUCGCUACCUGGCCCUGCGAUUUCCUAUAUAAACACUCCAUACCAACAUCAUCAAACACAUUUCCUCCAUCUUAAUCUAAAAAUCACUAUCUCCAACUUCUCAAACACACUUUUUCCGAUUUCUCAAACACAUUUUCUUUAACUUUAUUCAUGGAAUUAUCCAAAAAUCAUAGAGCUGAAAGUCGAUAUAUUCAAGCAUUUAUUCCCUUGAAGAAUAAAUUGAAAUGUCAUGGUCAUGUCAACAAAAAACCGAACGACGCCAUAUUACCGUAUUUGCAACAAGUUGUAUUUGGUGAAAUGAUCAUAAUUGGAAACAAAAGAUCCAAUAAUCGUGGCGAUUUAAAUAAAGCAUCUCAUUAUAGUUGGGGUUUGACAGUUUUAACAACACUCUAUAGAGAAUUAUGCCUUGCUAUAAACCCGAUGUAAGGUCGAUGGGAGGAUGUGCAUUGUUGUUGCAAAAUUGGGCAUGAUAUCGUUUGACUUGUGUUGUGUUGUUCCGGAUGCACCCAGUGCAUGGAUAUUUCCACUUGCACAAAGAUUUAAUUCUGGCGGUCUAAAUUUCAGUAGAGUUCCUCACAAUGAUAUAGAAGGAUAUCGGAAUACUAUCGACCAUAAUUCAGAAACAUGAAGCAACCGUUUUAAGAUGUGAAGUUAUCGUUGAGAUAGAGAUUCUUGGUUGCUUACCUCCUCUUUCUCUCAAGUGUGAUUUCUUUGAUUAAUUAGAUGUCCUUCGUCAAUUUCUUAGAGAAGCUGAGAAGGUAAACAUUGAAGUUUCUUACGUAAACUGAGAAGGUAAAGAUUGAAAUUCCUUUUUGCCACUUUUGUUAUAGCUUGACUUGAGUGGCUUGCUUAAUUAUAACGUUGAUAAGAGGUACAUGUAUUUUGAAAGAGUUUGAAAUUUUUUUAAGAAUAGAAUUGAAGUUGAGAAGUUAUAUUAAAUGGUGACAUUCUGUGUUGAACUUGAGAAAAUAGUGCUAAUUAUAAAUAUAUGAUGAACAUGUUAAUUUUCAUUUUAAUAUUUCUUUAUAUUUGUUUGUAAGUGCAUUGGUUUUUAAAAUUUGAACAAAGCUGUUUUAGACAUAUUUCUGAUGCCGAUGUAGAAAAGUUAAGAGUGAAAGAGGUUAGUGGCGCUAAAAUGUGUUUUUUAAGUUGUGUUACUGUAUAUAUUCUUUAUACUCAUCUGAUGUUGCAUAUAUAUAUAUAUAUAUAUAUUUAAACAAUAAUUGUAGGUGUUUUAGUGUUUACUCUAAAUAUAUAUUCAAGGCUUGUGAUGAUCUUUUCAAUUUGGGAAUGACCUGUUAUAUGAACUCGACAUUGCAAUGUCUGCCUCUAUUAUGUGCCAAAAUUGAAGAUGGCUUUAACGAAGUAAAUAUUUUCUUAGGAGUCAAAUUUGCUGUCUUGCCGAUAUAUUACUUAAUAUUGUUUGAACUUUGUUGGGAUCAGGUACUUAGAUGCAGGACGGAACAAUGAUGUUGAUAAGGCUUGUCAUAACUUGACCAUUGGAACCUGUCACUUAUUUACUAAGUUUGAUGAAAGUGUCAAGCCUGUGACGCCUACACAAUUUUAGUUGGUUGCUGAAAAAUAUUGGACGCAACUUCUAUUCACAUCUUCACAAUCUCUAAGAUACUCUAGAUCUAGUGAAAACACUAUUACUGAUGCUGUAAAGGCUAGUAAGAGCUCUUUUUUGACAUAAAACUUAGUAGUAGGUAUAUUUUGAGAUUUCUGGAUGAUCUCAAACUUCAAACCUCAGCAAUUGUGGACGAUCUCAAACUUCAAACUUCUUCUGAUGAUCUCGUAGAGAUGUUUGUUCAUGAUCCACUUCAAUCUACACCGCAGACUCAACCUGCAGAUUUUUAUUCAUAAUCUACCUCAAUCUUCACGACUGAUUCAAUCUCUGGCAAUUGUCGAUGAUCUCAAACUUAAAACUUCUUCUGAUAAUUUCGUAGAGAUGUUUGUUCAUGAUCCACUUCAAUAUCUACCUCAAAAUUCACCAUAGAUUCAAACGUUAGGUUUUAAUUGUAUAUGAUCUCAUAAAUAUUGAGUUGAGGUUAAUAGAUUUCUUCUAAUUUUAACUGGAACAGUGAGCUCAACCUUAACUAUUUUAAUAGUCGGUCUAAGAAAUUUCAUAUUGAA